CUCGUGCUGUCUUCAAGCUUAUCACAGAGACUAUGAAAUGAUAAACAGAAGUAACUAUAAAUUAUUACUUUAGUUCUCGGUAGAUGCACGAGGAAGAGGUUUCUUUUCGUCUCUAAAGCUUGACGUUCGAGUCACUGAUAACGGGUGCAAUCCCUAUUGUCGUAAAUCUUCUUUGAUCUCUUGGCCUUCCAAUUCUGGAAGUAUACUCCUUAUACUUUGGCCCUCACCGCUAUUGUUAACACUAAAGAGCGGCCCUUGUGCUUUUUGAAAGCAUUUAAUCGGAGUUGUUAACUUCACUUUCAAGUUCGGAAAUCUUUUUGGCUACAGAAUCUAAUGUUGUUAGUUCUUUGGUGAUAGCUAAUAAACUUACUUACCACCUCGAGGGAAUAGUGUGUUGUCAUGGAUAAAAUAUAUAUGUAUAUAAAUUAAUAUUAUAACAUAAAUAAAGUAAAAAGAAAUAAUGAGUUUUAAGUUAUGCUCAAUCUUACAUUUUAAUUUUUUUUAUUACCUGUCAUACUACAGCCAGGCUUUAUAUAUAAGGGGAUCCUAUACACUGCUUAAUCUGGUCCAAGCGGGCACGGCUGCCAACCCGAAGGAGCUUGCACUAUCAUGACUGUCCCGAAGUACAAGAAGCGGAAAUAUCUGGCACGCACUUCCGCCAUUCCGUUUAGUGUGUCGGAAAACCUCCAAAAAAACCACUGGGGCGGUGUAAGGUACAAGAACCAGGUCUCCUAGAAACUCCGACCAGCACCACUGCCACCAGGCCUUUCCGAAUUGCUCUUUAUCUUGAUUAUUUAUUUUUUAUAAAUAACAGUUUCUGGUGCCCGACAGGGUCAAAUACUUCGAGUACUCGAGCUCUCAGUGAGGAGUGACGUCCUAUCGGGCUUUUAAAAACUGAAUAAGGUAACCAAACUCAGUUUACUAUAAGCAGAUCAGUAUGUUCUGGGAAAAAGUCAUCCUACUACUUUCCAAUCCUGCGCAUAUUUAUAAACAAAUAAAGUUACCAAAUAUUUAAAAUA